rnacentral:sRNA from 1 species
UGGAAAUCCGGCGCGGUCGCGCCACUGUGACCAGCGUGUCGAAGUUCUUUACGCUGGAAGUCAGACCCUGCCGCACAACACUCUUUCGACUGAACGCGUCAUUCCGGAGGGAUACA